rnacentral:rRNA from 1 species
GCGAAACUCUUUGCCCCGUUUGGCGGCGGUGGGCAAAUGGGUGCUCGCGUGGCCCUCGUGAGGCGCCGCCACCACCGCUCACCUUCCGCUACCCCACCACUCUCCCCGUGGACUCAUUCCCUCGCAUCUCCGGCUUAGGAUCGGUCGGGCGCUCGCUCACCUCCCACAGUCCCUGACCAGGUGAAAGAGAAGAGGAGCAGCUGCGGUCCAGCCGUGGUGAAUUUCUCCUCCUCCUCCUCGACAACACACAGGUGCUGUCGAUGUCAUGUGCUCGCUGAUCGUCUUCCCGCGACGUCCGUCGGUUCCUGCUCGCCUCGGGCAACCGCUGUGUGUUGUUCCCUGUUGCUGCUGAGUGCUGGGCUGUAGUCUGUUUGCUGUUGAUGUAUGAUUCAAUCCAGUAGCAUGUACAGUACUCCGGAGUACUCGUAAUUAGCAAGUAAUCCGGUAUGCUGUUGAUGAAAUAAACAUGUACUCCUGCAUAUAUCCCCAAUGGCUGUUGAUGUACGAUCCAUGAAGCUCUGCUAAUGAAUUAGCUACUGGUGGAUCCUAGGAAGAAAAAAAUUGUUGCACAGAAUGCCCAAGGGUAGUUAUAAAACUGUUGCAAACGAUGCUCAUAGCAGCUCAAGAACAAGUGAAAUUCACCUAGGCCAACCAAUUCCAUAUUUAGGUAUUUGCUGGGUUAAGUAUUUGGUCCCCAAAUUUUCACGCAUUAUGGUGGUGAGCUAAAACCAUCAUAAGCGAAUUAUUGCCAAAUUGGUAGAAAAGGAAACAUUAGUACUAAAAAAGCACACACAGAGUUUAUGUCUGGUUGGACCAAGUGGUUUCUGAUCAUGCAUUCUUGAUGCAGGUGCAAGCAGGAGGCGAACGCAAGCGUAUGUUGGUGUGUAGAGGUGACCAUUUUUGGCUUCUCAAGCAACCUGCAAGCACGCAUCACACUAUUUCAGUGAAUGUAUGUGUAAGCAUCCUAAGAAUACGUCCCACUGUGCAAAGGUUGUGUGAACAUUGGUCACUCUACUCUUAUCUAGGCUGGGCCGGCAAUAGAUUGAAUGCAAAUCAAAUAUUGAUCUUCAUGUGUUUGCAGGCAUAUUUUAAUUAUGAUGAUUACCAAAUGAUUCCUGCAGUUGUUUUGUUUCAAAUGCGAUUCUUGGAUAGAGAUUGAACUCGUACUCCAAACGAAUGUACGCUGGGUCUGGUCGAACUGCAACAUCUGCCUAAUUUAUUUUCACAUUAAACGCAAUUCAGCAUUAUAAUACGAUGUAUUAUGCUCAUAAAACAUGUAGAUUCUAAAUUACAAUGACUUAUGGCUGGUUAGAUAGUCUACAAAAAAAACUCAAUGUUCAAUUUGAAUUCGGAAAAGCAUAGAGAGACGCUCCAAACAAGAAAAUUUAGAAUAUACUCAAAUUUAUGUUCUAUUGUCGGAUUUUAGCACAAAUUAUUAUUUUCUGUUCAUGUUUGUGAAAAUUUUAUUUGCAUUCUACAGGAUUUGGAUACUUCUUACUCCCUCCGUUCCACAAUGUAGUGCGUAUAUAUUUUUGAAAAGUCAAAAUUUACAAACUUUGACCAUAUUUAUAGAGAAAAAUAGGUACAUCUAGAAUACCAAAUACAUAUCGUUGGAUACAUCAUGAGCUAUAUUUUCAUAAUGUACAUGUUUGGUAUUUGAAAUAUAGAUAGUUUUCUCUAUAAACUUGGUCAAAGUUUGCUAAGUAUGACUUUCAAAAAAAUCUAUAUGCACAACAUUGUGGAACGGAGGGAGUACUAUUUAUUUCUGCACCUACCUGUAGGUUACUCUAUCAUACUAGAUAUCUUUGUGUUUCAAGAGCUUGUAUUCAAAUUUCUGAAGGGCGUAUUUUCCCCCCACGCUAGAGGAAUAUAUAUUGGCGUAUUUGGGACUCAACUAACUUUAAUCCCGUAGGAACUGUUUCUUUUUCAGUGCAACAAAAAGAGGUUGAAAACCUUGCACAAGCCGUCAGGUCAGAAGUAACAAGAAAAACAAAAUGAAAUCAGUCUCCUCUCCUCCAUUUAGUACUAGUACUAGUCCGACUACUAGUACUCCAGUCCAACUGCUCACUCUACCUCCCACCUCAGCUUGUACGUAAGUGUGGGCAGAAUCAAAGUAUUGCCAAACUCUAAACUCAGCGUUGAAAGUGGUGUUGGUGGAUUGAUAAGUUGAUGUAUCUAAUGGCAUACAUGCCUUCCUGCGGCACCUUCCAUGCACCUUUAGUGUCUUCUUGCCUGAGGAGGAAAUUCACAGUGGUGGCCACGGCUUCCAAGGCCAAGUGAGUUCUGCUCUUCCUCUUCAUCAUGCAAAAACUUUGUGGUUGGUUAUAUAUUCCUGUUCUGUUCUUGAAUCUUGCUCGGAGUGCUUGUGUCGGCUCCGUGAUCUUGGUUGAGCUGAUAUUUUGCUACUUGGACACCAGAGAUGGCAAGUGGUUAUUCUGUCUUGGGAAUGAAUGAAUCUUUGAUUUUUCCAACGGGCUUCCUGUAGGUUCCCUAGAUUGAACUGAAUUUGGUCAUAAAAGAAUAUGUUCAUUUGUUUUCGGUCAUUUAUCUGUUUGCUGAUGCUUUUAUCAUCGUAAUCUUGCUUUAAUGUACUUGUGGAUAUUGGAGAGUCGAGUUUUGAGAAAUUUUCACUCUAUGCCUUAUUUCAAGCUGAUUUGGUUAUUGACAAGUAGUUUUCUCUUCUAUUUUUGUUUUGUUUUGUUUACGGAGCGAGCUAUUAUUUCUUGCAUACAGUGUUUUUAUGCUUUGUUGUCUUUGGACAGAUGUAUGUUUAAAUCCUACAGUUCAGUUGCAUGGCAUGCAACUUUUGUGUAUGCCCCUUUUUUUUAUUUUGUUAGUUGAAUGAUUGUGAGAAGCAGAUUGGGUGUUAUUUGCAUUUUUUUGCUGGUCUCCUGCUCGGUUCUGUAGUCGUGGAGGCCAGAUCACUCACCUGCAGGCCAUGGCAUUCAAAAGGCGUGAAGUACUAGUGUAAUGAAGUUACGUGCUUGAGCUCAUUACGUUUUCCUCUUGCAUGUAGUUGCAAAUAGCAUGCCAUGCUGCUCGAAAAGAGUAUCUGAGUAGCAUCGAUGAUUUAUUUCAUGGAAAUUAGCACUUAGUUUUGGACCCAUUGGCACAGCUCACAAGCUCUUGAAUUUGCAUGAACUAGUGUAAAUUUGCUGGGAGUAAAAACAUACUAGGUCUUUCAUCAAUCUGGAUAGUCUUUCUUUUUCGAGCUUUAAUCUGAUUAUUUAGUUGUGUUAUAUUACCCAUUUUCCCAUUACUCUUGUGCAUUAUAAGUUACUUUGUCUGCUUACGAAGGGUUGGAACUCCCAAAAAGGCCUCCACUCAAGUCCGAUUCACGCAACCAUUCCCACCUGAAAAGAAGGAAAUUUUCGAUUCAUUGGAACGCUGGGCAGAGGAAAACAUCCUGGUCCUGUUGAAGCCAGUAGAGAAAUCAUGGCAGCCGCAGGACUACCUACCAGACCCUUCCUCGGAUGGAUUCUAUGAUGAAGUCAAGGAGUUGAGGGAACGGGCCAAGGAGAUCCCGGAUGACUACUUGGUCUGUCUGGUUGGAGACAUGGUCACUGAGGAAGCACUCCCUACUUACCAGACAAUGCUCAAUAUUCUCGAUGGCGGUGUCGGCGACGAUACUGGCACCAGUCCAGCCAGCUGGGCUGUCUGGACGAGGGCAUGGACGGCCGAGGAGAACAGGCACGGUGAUCUCAUGAACAAGUACAUGUACCUCACUGGGAGGGUUGAUAUGAGGCAGAUUGAGAAGACCAUACAGUAUCUCCUUGGUGCUGGAAUGGAUCCAAAAACCGAGGGCAACCCAUAUGAGGGUUACAUCUACACAUCUUUCCAAGAGAGGGCAACCUUCAUAUCUCACGGCAACACUGCAAGGCACGCCAGGAAGUACGGGGACCUGAAGCUGGCUCAGAUAUGUGGCACCAUCGCGGCCGACGAGAAGCGCCAUGAGACGGCCUACACCAAGAUUGUGGAGAAGCUCUUCGAGGUCGACCCCGACUACACGGUGCUGGCCUUCGCCGCCAUGAUGAGGAAGAAGGUCACGAUGCCCGCCCACUUGAUGUACGACGGGCAGGACGACAACCUGUUUGAGCACUUCAGCGCGGUGGCUCAACGGCUGGGCGUCUACACCGCCAUGGACUACGCCGACAUCCUCGACUUCCUGGUCCAGAGGUGGAACGUGGCCAACCUCACUGGGCUGUCCGGGGAAGGGAGGCGGGCUCAGGAUUUCCUCUGCUCACUGGGACCAAGGUUCAGGAAGCUGGAGGAGCGAGCUCAGGGCAGGGCGAAGCAGUUACCGGUUGUUCCUUUCAGCUGGAUCCAUGGCCGGCAAGUGCAACUUUGAGUGGCAUUGCUAAACAAUUAUAAGACAAUUUGUUCUUCUUAUUUUCAAAAUAUGAAGCAACUGUUGACUUGUACUACUAUAAACAUAUCUACUCUGCAUGUGCCAAAGAAGCUUAAAAUAACAUAAUUAUAUCAUGAACACAUCCAGACUUUUUGUUUGUUUGUUUGUUUGUUUGUUUGUUUCAGUUGUCCAUUUUGAAUAUUGGAUUUGGACAUGUAUAGUCAUCUAAGAGCAUCUGCAGCAGCUCCCAUCUACCCAAAUGUUUUUUGGUG